rnacentral:rRNA from 1 species
AGAUUGAACGCUGGCGGAAUGCUUUACACAUGCAAGUCGAACGGCAGCACGGGGGCAACCCUGGUGGCGAGUGGCGAACGGGUGAGUAAUACAUCGGAACGUGCCCAGUCGUGGGGGAUAACUACGCGAAAGCGUAGCUAAUACCGCAUACGAUCUACGGAUGAAAGCGGGGGAUCGCAAGACCUCGCGCGAUUGGAGCGGCGAUGGCAGAUUAGGUAGUUGGUGGGGUAAAGCUCACAAGCCGUCGAUCUGUAGCUGGUCUGAGAGGACGACCAGCCAC